GAGGAUUUAGCUUAAGUAAAGUGUUUGAUUUACAUUCAAUUGAUGUAAGAUAUAAUCUUGCAAUCCUUA
rfam:Ovis aries breed Texel chromosome 3, whole genome shotgun sequence.